rnacentral:lncRNA from 1 species
UUGUCACAGUGGUUUGAUUGUAUCGAAAAGGCAUAACUACUCUAUUGGCAUUAGAUGCUCUGGGGCAAAGAUGGAGUUGGGCCCAAUAAUUGUUAGGUGAGGGAUCCAAUAACGGCUUUGCACCUACUGAUGAAUGGUGGAUCGAACUUAACUAAGGAGUGUGGUCAAUAACUGUUAGGUGACCCCACAUGACUUAGAGACCAAGUCACU